UGGCUCAGGACGAACGCUGGCGGCGUGCCUAAUACAUGCAAGUCGAGCGGACAGAUGGGAGCUUGCUCCCUGAUGUUAGCGGCGGACGGGUGAGUAACACGUGGGUAACCUGCCUGUAAGACUGGGAUAACUCCGGGAAACCGGGGCUAAUACCGGAUGCUUGUUUGAACCGCAUGGUUCAAACAUAAAAGGUGGCUUCGGCUACCACUUACAGAUGGACCCGCGGCGCAUUAGCUAGUUGGUGAGGUAAUGGCUCACCAAGGCAACGAUGCGUAGCCGACCUGAGAGGGUGAUCGGCCACACUGGGACUGAGACACGGCCCAGACUCCUACGGGAGGCAGCAGUAGGGAAUCUUCCGCAAUGGACGAAAGUCUGACGGAGCAACGCCGCGUGAGUGAUGAAGGUUUUCGGAUCGUAAAGCUCUGUUGUUAGGGAAGAACAAGUACCGUUCGAAUAGGGCGGUACCUUGACGGUACCUAACCAGAAAGCCACGGCUAACUACGUGCCA
rnacentral:rRNA from 1 species